GGCAGGCGGUGGUUUCUUCCCACAACCCUCUAACUGUAUUGUCUUGGUUAAUAGAUAACAAUGUGGUGUUGCCUAGGGCAAAAGUACAUUACCAUAGCAGAAAUUAUCAUUCUCCAAUGGCAGAAGGGCGAAUAACUCAUGAUGGGAUCAAGUGCAAUUGUUGCCAAAAAGUUCUCUCUUAAGAAAUCUGAAGCUCAUGCUGGCAGUACUAAUCAGCGACCAUCUGCCAAUAUUUUUUUUGAGGAUGGAAGGUCUUUGUUAGAAUGUCAGAUGCAAUUGAAACGUGAAAAUUGUAAAAAAAGCUUCGUGAUAGAACCAAAUGUGAAAAAGGGUAAGUGGGAUCAGGGCACAAAUGACUACAUAUGUUCUGUUUGUUACUCUGGGGGUGAACUAAUUUUAUGUGAUCAAUGUCCAUCAUCGUUCCAUGCAAAUUGCCUUGGUUUGAAGGAUGUACCAGAUGGCGACUGGUUCUGCCCACCCUACUGUUGUGGAAUUUGUGGCCAAAGCCGAUUCAACAGAGACACUGAAAAGUUUCUGGAUAAUAGUGUUCUCAAUUGUGAUCAGUGCGAGCAUCAGUAUCAUGUUGGAUGCUUAAGAAAAAGAGGUCUCAUAAAGCUGGAGAGAUAUCCUAAAGGAAAUUGGUUUUGCAAUAGAACAUGUGAACAGAUAUUUUUGGGCCUCUGCAAGCUUUUGGGAAAACCAGUUCCGGUGGGUGAAGAUGAUUUCACUUGGAGUCUUUUGAAAUGCACGAAAUGUGACGGUGAUCAUGAUGCUUCUGACGAUGAGGCUUUUACAGAGAGUUACAGCAAGCUCAAUGUUGCUCUUUGUGUGAUGCAUGAGUGUUUUGAGCCCAUUAAGGAAUCUCACACAAGGAGAGAUCUCGUUGAAGAUAUCAUCUUCAGUAGAUGGUCAGAACUAAAUCGUUUGAACUGCCGAGGGUUUUAUACAAUCAUUUUGGAGAGAAAUGAUGAAUUGAUUACGGUGGCUACUGUACGGAUUUACCGCUUAUUGGUACGCGGUUUCGAUAUUGCCGACUUGGAAUGUGCCAAAUCUUGAUGAAUGAGCUUGAAAGGUAUUGUUGGAGGCAAUGGCAGUAACGGUGACGCUGCUCCUAUGGUGGUUCUGGUGAGUCAAUCGACUUCUCUCGAGUCCGUACCUUGCCAAAGUGAAAUCAGUUUAGAAUGCUCUGUUGAACAUGCAGUUCACAAGGAAAGCGUCAACAUUGGAAAUGGCCAUUUAAAGUGUUACAAGCAGAGGAGGAAUCUCAGCCUGCUAGAGAUGACCCUUUCCCACAUUACUAAUUCCACUAAUGAUCAUGUAAAAAUGUGAUUUUUGUGCUUGUGAGCUCUGAGUAUCUGUUGAGCUAGUUGUUUUUUGGACAUGGGAGCUCAAAUUUUGCUUGAUAAAGUGCAGAUUCCUCCUUUGUAAAGAGUAUAGGAGGAGGGGGAGUUGCAGGAUUUUUAGUCUCUAUUUAUCUUUUGUAUAUUCGGGUAGUUGCAGAUACACAUAAAGCUCCUUUUGGAUUUUCUUUUGUGCACAUAAAAACCGUUCUUUCCUUUUGUUUAUCUAA